GGCUUCCCUUUAGCUAUGAUCUUUGCUGCCAAAGAAGAAAGGAAACUUCAUGACAUCAGAUUAAACUGGAUUUAAACUCUAGUCUCUGAGCUGAAAAUCCGUUUUUUCUAAUUGAUUGCCAUUUGGUCUACCAUCCGUCAGGAAGCCCCAUCUUUGAAAGGAGAAGUUGUCAUUUAUGAAAAUUAUGAAGAGAAAGGGUCCUAGAACAGAUCCCUGAAGGACAGCACUGGUCACUGACCUCCAUGCAGAAUAUGACCCGUCUACAACCAUUCUUUGCCACCUCUGGGCAAGCCAAUUCUGGAUCCACAAAGCAAAGUCCCUUUGGAUCCUAUGCCUCCUUACUUUCUCACUUCAUUGGGCCAGCACCUCAUUUUUUGAUGUACUACAUGGUGAUGCUCCCUGGCUUCCUUUCUGCACUUCUCAGCGAACCAGAAUUGACUUACUAUUUUCAUGACUAUGGAGAAGGCAAUGCAUAAUUGUGUCCUGAAGAGCUACCAGAUUGGUUCUGGGGUGGCUGGUGAGCAAGCUAACAUGAAGAAUAAAUCUGGCUGACCUCGUCUUUACGGACCUAAAGUGGCAAACACAUCACAGACAACACUGUCAUACUGUCCCCAUGGAGACAAAGACCCUCUCCACAGAGAUCAAGCUCUCCAUUGUAACCAUGGAGAGAAAUAAACAGUCGAUGUUCAGGCCGAGACCCUUCAUCAAGCCCUGAAACAUUGACUAUUUAUUCCUCUCCAUAGAUGCUGAGCUACUGAGUUCCUCUAACAUUUUAUGCAUGUUAGUCUGGAUUUCUGCAGAGGAACAUGGAAAGAUAUGGACAUUGUGAAGGGAUAAGGGAUCAGUUAAGUUGGCCACUGGAUUACAAAUUUAUUUGUUUUGGCACAGUAUUGUGAUGUAUUAUGGUCUAGCAUUAAGAUGAGGAUUAGUUUGGGUGAAAAUUUGAAAUAGCAUAGGAAAUAUGUCAUAGAUGGUCUACAGAUCUCCUAGAAGUAUUUAUAAUAUAUAGUAGGAUAGGAAAAAAAUCAAGAAACAGUAUGGCUUGUAAGGAGAUUAUUGCAAUGAUUAUACAACUUUGAAUGUUAUAUGUGAUAGCACAAAUCAAACUGCAAUGAUGGUCUUCAGGUCAAUUUCACAAGGUGUACUUUGGUCUGUUUUGUUCGAACAAUGAACCAGCAAGAGAAUAGGUUAUUUUUGAUCUAGUCAUGAGCAAUGACCCAGAAUUAAUUAAUUGUCCCACCAUAAAGGAUCCUCUGGGGUGGUAGAAUUUCAUGUUUAAUAGUCUGAAACUUGUACCUUUUUCUUAUAUGAAGGUGAUUACAGAGGAAGGAAGGCAGUUCUUUCUUAAAGUGGACUGGAAAAUAGUGUGAAAGGUAACACAGAAGAUAAGCAGUGGCAGAUAUUUAAGGUAAAUUUCACAAUUCACAGCAAGCAAAUGCUUAGAAAUUUGUCAUUUUGGCAUUUUGUAAUGCAAAUAGCACAUGAAAUCUUGGCUAUGGAGAGCACUGGUAUUCAUUGGUUCUGUCCAUGGUGUGGACCUGCUCAUCAUAAUGAUCAGCUCUGGUGCCAACACAGCAUGCCCACAACUCACUAAACCCACCGAACGUCUUUGGACUGUUGGAGCAAACCAGAGCAUCUGGAGGAAACGCACCUUCGUGUGGGGAGCUCCUUACAAACAUCUGCAGGGAUUGAGCUACUGCUGGCCACAAUGGAGAAGACUGCAUCUCCUCCUCCUUAGUAUUUUCCUUUCCUUCCAUGGCAGGCUUUAUUGUUGCUGUACUAUAACUGCAAUUACUCACGUACUUUUCAGUAUCACCUCACUUCCAGCAGGAGCUCUGCCACUUCUAACAUAUUUUGUUUUGUAUAUAUUUUUCACAAAUCAUGUCUGCGGAUGAGAACUACACAUGAAAGAUGUCCAGUAUGCCAAAGUCCAGGCCAAAGAAUGGGGAUCCAUUUGUAGAAAGUAAGAAGGCUUCAGAUGGGGAAAAAAAGGCUGGCAAUGUUGAAGAAAUUGAAGGUAAAUUUAACAAAACAGCUGAGAAAGAAUCAGGAUCAGAAUCAAUUUUAUAUUAUCACUGACAUGUUGUGAAAUAUGUUGUUUUGUAGCACCAUAACAGUGAAACACAUAAAAAUAUUAUAAAUUACAAUAAGAAAUAUAUGCAGUGGAUAUUGAUUAAUUGAGACACCUCAGGACCAGUACUUUUUGCCACAAUUACUUAAAGUUUCAUGGAAAUAGUUAAAAAGGUAUAAAAAAGGCAAACUGUUUAACUGAAUAACAAAUUAUGCAUUUAAAUGAAAUAUAGAACAUAUUAGAACACUACCAAUGCUACUACAGUACUAUGAAACUGCAUAUUAGUUCCUAAUAGUUAUUGAUGGAGGAAUUAAUCCAGUGUACAUUGCCAUGUAUGGGGCAUCCAGGGAAGGGUAACACCUUUAGUGAACUGGCUAGUUGUGUCCAUUCUGGGGCAGCUCAUUCAUGUUUCGUCCCCACUGGACACUCAGUUCUCACCUGUGGCUCUGAGUAGCUGUUUGCAUGUGACAGCAGCCACACCCCUAACUAUCAGUGACAAAAAUCAUUGCUUUUUGAACACAAAUCCACAUUUUGACACUCUGAUGAAUGGUAUAGGGAUUUCAGUAAGGCAUUUGAUAAGGUUCCCCAUGCAAAGCUCAUUCAAAAAGUAAGGAUGCAUGGGAUCCAAGGCAACCUUGCUUUGUGGAUCCAGAAUUGGCUUGUCGACAGAAAGCAAAGAGUGGUUGUAGACAGGUCAUAUUCUGCAUGAAGGUUGGUGGCCAGUGGUGUGCCUCAGGGAUCUGUUGUGGGACCCCUCCUCUUUGUGAUUUUUAUAAAUGACUUGGAUGAAGAAGUAGAAGGGUGGAUUCGUAAGUUUGCUGAUGACACAAAAGUUAGGGGUGUUGUGGAUAGAGGUGAAGAAUUGUUGAGGUAACAGUGGGACAGCGAUAGGAUGCAAAACUGUGCUGAGACUUGGCAGAUGGAGUUCAACACAGAUAAGUGUGAAGUGGCUAAUUUUGGUCAGUCAAAUUUGAAGACAGAAUAUAAUAUUAAUGGUAAGACUCUUGGCAGUGUGGAGGAUCAGAGAGUUCUUGGGGUUUGUGUCCAUAGUACACUCAAAGAUGCUGCACAGACUGAAGUGUUGUUAAGAAGGAACAUGGAAUGUUGGCCUUUCUCAACCAUGGGAUUGAGCUCCAGAGCCGUGAGAUAAUGUUGCAGCUAUAUAGGUCCUUGGUCAGAUUCCAACUUGGAGUACUGUGUUCAGUUCUGGUCACCUCACUACAGGAAGGAUGUGGAUACUAUAGAGAGAGUGCAGCGGAGAUUUACAUGGAUGUUGCCUGGAUCGGAGAGUGUGCCUUAUGAGAUUAGGUUGAGUGAACUUGGCCUUUUCUCUUUGGAGCAAUGGAGGAUGAAAGGUGACCUGACAGAGAUGUAUAAGAUGAUGAGAAGCAUUGAUCAUGUGGAUGGCCAGAGGCUGAAAUGGCUAAAACAAAGGAGCAUAGUUUUAAGGUGCUUGGAAGUAGGUACAAGGGGGAGGCCAGAGGUAAACUUUUCACACAGAGAGUGGUGGGUGUGUGGAAUGCACUGCCAGCAACGGUGGUAGAGGCCAAUACAAUAGGGUCUUUUAAGAGACUUUUAGAUAGGUACAUGGAGCUUAGAAAAGUGGAAGCCUAUGCAGUAGGUAAAUUCUAGACAAUUUCUAGAAUAGGUUACAUGGUCGGCACAACAUUGUGGGCCAAAGGGCCUGUAAUAUGCUGUAGAUUUCUAUGUUCUAUGUUCUACAACUGAUACUAUUUAAGAACUGUUCACCUUAAUAAAUAAAAGAUCAAUAACAUGAAGUGAUCCAUACCUGAGAAGUGUCAGAAAAGUCUAUGUUCUCUUGCUACCCAUAUCAUUUUGCCCUGUAUCUGCUUGCUAUUAUUCUUUCAUUUCAUCAAUUACUCACCCCAACACUGCCCAUAUCUAAACGAAUGGAAUAUAUACUCUAUCCAGUCAUUAGUGAACACCACAAAACAUUUUAUUAUUUUUAUUACUGUGAUAUUGAAAAGUACUUUAGAAAUUUAUGGGAAAAUACGUGUAAAAUCAUAUUUCCCUAAGUCAGGUCAUCCAUAACACAGGGAGUCCGUGUAUUCUUAUUGAGCAGAGGUUUGAAAAUAGUCAACGCUGCUGUUAGCCAGUCGCUUCCAGGCAUUUUGAUAAUUAACAGACAGCACAAAAUUGCUGUGGUGACUGGAUCAGAAGUAAUGGCCACAAUUAAAUUAAAUUAAAAGUGGCAAUCCCUGCACCUGUUUCUGAGGUCUAUCUAAUUUAGAUUCCAUUGACUGUGCCUCAGUCACACUGGUUGUGUUUAUGGGAUUUUCUCUUUCCAUUAUCAAUGCACCAUGUUUAUUCCCCAAUGCUCUUCUAAAUAAAUGGGACGGCAGGGCCGUGUAGUGGUUAGCGCAGUGCUUUACCAUACUGGUUCAACUCCCGCUGCUGCCUGUAAGAAGCUUUUACUUUCUCCCCGUGACUGCGUGAGUUUCCUCCCACAGUCCAAAGAGGUACUGGUUGAUAGGUUAAUUGGUCAUUGUAAAUUACCCUGUGAUUGGGCUAGGGUUAAAUCGGGGAUUGAUGGACAGUGCAGUUCAAAGGGCAGGUAGGGCCUACUCCCUGCUGUAUCUCAAUUAAUAAACAAUAGGGAAGCUACUUCCUUAGAAGUUUGCAAAGAUAUGACAUCUAAAACUUUGACAAAAUGUUAUAGGUAUGUGGUGGAGAGUAUAAUGACUGGCUACAUUGCAGUCUAGUAUGGAAGUUCAAAUAUCCUUGAAUGGAAAAUCCUACAAAGAGUAGUGGAUAUGGUCCAGUCCGUCAUGGAGCGAGAAUGAAAAUCUGGCUAAAUUGUGCCGGAAGAACAACCUCUUAUUCAAUGUCAACAAGACCAAGGAGCUAAUUAUUGAGUUCAGAAGGAGGAAACUGGAGAUUGUUGAGUUAGUCCUCAUCGGAGGAUCAGGGGUGGAGAGGGUUAGCAACUUUAAAUUCCUCAGCACUAUUAUUUCGGAGGACCUAUCCUGGGCCCAGCACAUAUGUGCAAUUACAAUGAAAGCACAGCCAUGCCCAUGCUUCCUUUUGGAGUUUGUGAAGAUUUGGCGUGACAUCUAUGUAUGUAUGUGGCCUCUGUCGGUUGUGAUAAACCAUGGAUACUGCGCCUCUGGUAGUCACUGGGAGUGGCUUCUCUGGGGUGCAAGCCAGGGCAGAGUUGAUAUGGAGAUCCGUCUGUUGCCCAUGCAGUGGGUCCACCCCCUUCAUGCUGAUGACGGGUCCACAGGAACGACAAAAGUCGAUACGGUUUGGUGCCAGCAUGACAUCUAAAACUUUGACAAAUUCAAUAGAUGUGUGGUGGAGGGUAUUUUGACUGGUUGCAUCAUAGCCUGGCAUGGAAACACCAAUGCCCUUGAACGGACAACCCAACAAAAAGUAGUGGGAAUGACCCAGUCUGUUACAGAUAAAGCCCUCCCCAACAUUGAGCACAUCUACAUGGAGUGUUUUCACAGGAAAGCAGCAUCCAUCAUCACGACCCCUGCCAGGACAUGCUCUCUUCUCACUGCUACCAUCAGGAAGAAGGUACAAGAGCAUUAGGACUCACACUACCAGGGUCAGGAGCAGUUAUUACCCCUCAACCAUCAGGCUCUUUAACCAGUGGGUAUAACUUCACUCAACUUCACUUGCCCAUCACUGAACUGUUCCCACAGCUUACUUACUUUCAAGUACUCUUCAUUUCAUGAACUCAAUAUUUAUUGAUGAUUAUUAUUAUUAUUUUAUUGGCACAAUUUAUUAUCUUAUGCACAUUGGUUCCCAACCCUGCUGUGUGCAGUCUUUCAUUGAUACCAUUAUGAUUAUUGGAUUAUUGAGCAUGCCUGCAAGAAACCAAAUGCCAGGUUGCAUAUGGUGACAUAUAUGUACUUUGACAAUAAACUUAUUUUGUAUUUUUUACUUAGUAAGUGCCUGAAACAAUAGAAAUCACAAGCAAAAAGCAGUAUAAUAUACUCAUUUGAUAAUGUUUAUCAUAAUUAAUGUCCUGUCCUUUGCAGCCAGGCCUGCGAUUCAUUAGUAGGUUUUUAAGUCAUACAUGAAUUAACUGGAUUGUCAUUUUUUAGAGUAACAAACCUAUAUAUAUAUAUGUUUAUAUUCCACAAGCCAUUAAUAGUCCUUGUAUUGUGAUAGUUCUGUAGAACUGAAGUGGGUUUGAUUGACAGCUUUGUGCUAGAACCAGAAAAAAAAUGAACGUUGAAUCCCAGUCUUGGGCAUGCUGACUGAGCUUAUGAUGGGGUAUAAAUGAUGUUCACUCGUGGUCCUCAGGGCUUUUAGCUCACCUGAAAUGUUGGACUAAAUUGGAAACAUGAUAUAGUUUAAUACAUCAUGGUUUCU